AUUGAACGCUGGCGGCAUGCCUUACACAUGCAAGUCGAACGGUAACGCGGGGCAACCUGGCGACGAGUGGCGAACGGGUGAGUAAUGCAUCGGAACGUGCCCAGUAGUGGGGGAUAGCCCGGCGAAAGCCGGAUUAAAACCGCAUACGACCUACGGGUGAAAGGGGGGGAUCGCAAGACCUCUCGCUAUUGGAGCGGCCGAUGUCAGAUUAGGUAGUUGGUGGGGUAAAAGCCUACCAAGCCGACGAUCUGUAGCUGGUCUGAGAGGACGACCAGCCACACUGGGACUGAGACACGGCCCAGACUCCUACGGGAGGCAGCAGUGGGGAAUUUUGGACAAUGGGCGCAAGCCUGAUCCAGCCAUGCCGCGUGCGGGAAGAAGGCCUUCGGGUUGUAAACCGCUUUUGUCAGGGAAGAAAUCUCCUGAGUUAAUACCUCGGGGGGAUGACGGUACCUGAAGAAUAAGCACCGGCUAACUACGUGCCAGCCGCCGCAGUAA
rnacentral:rRNA from 1 species